rnacentral:rRNA from 1 species
UACGUAGGGUGCAAGCGUUGUCCGGAAUUAUUGGGCGUAAAGAGCUCGUAGGCGGUUUGUCGCGUCUGCUGUGAAAACUCGGGGCUUAACUCCGGGCCUGCAGUGGGUACGGGCAGACUAGAGUGCGGUAGGGGAGACUGGAAUUCCUGGUGUAGCGGUGAAAUGCGCAGAUAUCAGGAGGAACACCGGUGGCGAAGGCGGGUCUCUGGGCCGUAACUGACGCUGAGGAGCGAAAGCUAGGGGAGCGAACAGG